GUUGUAACUUGGUCAUAAAAAAAUGAUUUUCUAGCCAAUCAAUUUAAUCUUUAUCCAUAUUUUAUUCUAGGUCUUCACUUUCAAACCAAAAUUAGUAGUUCUUAAUAUUUCAGUAGAUAUUUAUAGAAUACUAAAUCCACUCUAUCCAUAAUUGGCAUGAGGAUCCUUGAGAAUACACAUGAUCCAACUCUAAGCCACAUA
rnacentral:lncRNA from 1 species